UUCUUGUCGGUCCAUUGCCUUGUCUUGUGCUGCUCUUUACGUCAUUGCAGUCAUCAUGUCUCUUUGUGCCAUGUCUUGUCAGGUGUAGGUUUAUUUUAGUUAUGUUUGUUACUUUGUAUAGGUGUCUUUAAGAAUUACAUAUGUUUAAGAUUCCUUACACCUGCCUUGUGUCCCUGCUUCGCUUCACUUGGGUCCUCCACACGCAGCCUUGCCUACAUCACACUGACUGUGGCACUUUUUUUUCUUUUUUCUUUUUCUUCAACAUACAGUCUGGAUUCCCUGUAGCAUGAUGCUACCUCUCUAAGAGGGCAUGUCGAGUGCGCCAAACAAAAGAAAGAAGACAGAAUGAGCGCUGCUGUUGCUGUUAAAAGUGCACCUGCCCAUUGUUCAGAAUCCCACCACAGAAGGUUACACAACCGUGAUCAAAAGGGUGCCGACAUGUGAUGCAACCGAGGUGCCGAGGGGCUAAUGUCGCUGUCAAUCCUCCAUCCCCUCGGCUACAAUCUCAUGGCUUCAUUUCCAUGCAGUCCCAAGUACCCUCCACCUUCAAGAGGUCUGAGCCAGACGCAUGAACAGGUGUCGGAGCGGCCGUUCAAGUCUGCACCCGCAGAGUCACCCGCUAACCCUUCUCCCUUAAUUACCGCGGAUGCCAGUAUGCUCACUAUCUUCUGCCUUUCAUAACGCACCAAGUUCCUGGGAAUGCACAUCACUGGGGACCUCUCCUGCACCAGCAACACCUCAUCACUAGCCAAGAAAGCUCACCAGCGUUUCCAAUUUCUGCGCAAACUGAGAAGAUCCAGAGCCCCGACCCCCACCAUCUGCUGGUCCGCAAAGGACCACAGAGAGCAUCUUGACCAACUGGAUCAGUGACACUUACAGUACCAGCCUCACUUGAAAAACCCUCUACAUUUCAAGGGAUGCUACUCAUCCGUCAUUGUCUCGUCAGUCUGCUGCGAUCAGGCAGGAGACUGCGGAUUCUGCUGGCAGGGACUAUCCAACUCAAAGACAGUUUUAUCCAUUAGGGUGUCAGGAAUCCGAACUCUCUGCCCGCUUUGCCUCUUCUGUCCUCUGCCCAACUGAAUUCUAAACUCUGAUAUCCCAGAAACAAGUAUAUAAACAAUCACACACACACUCACCCAAGACUCAGGGUCGGGGCAGCUGCUUUAACACCAUUGUGGUUUUGUCAUCUAAUUUAUAAAUGUCUCAUUUGCCUUGGUUUUCUGACCUUGACUGUUGCACAUGUUGGCUGACCUUUGAUAUUUGUAU